rnacentral:rRNA from 1 species
AACACGUAAAGAACCUGCCCUCAGGUCUGGGAUAACCACGAGAAAUCGGGGCUAAUACCGGAUGGGUCAUCGGACCGCAUGGUCCGAGGAUGAAAGACGCUUCGGCGUCGCCUGGGGAUGGCUUUGCGGUGCAUUAGCUAGUUGGUGGGGUAAUGGCCCACCAAGGCGACGAUGCAUAGCCGACCUGAGAGGGUGAUCGGCCACACUGGGACUGAGACACGGCCCAGACUCCUACGGGAGGCAGCAGUAGGGAAUCCUCCACAAUGGACGAAAGUCUGAUGGAGCAACGCCGCGUGAACGAUGAAGGCCUUCGGGUCGUAAAGUUCUGUUGUAAGGGAAGAACAAGUGCCGCAGGCAAUGGCGGCACCUUGACGGUACCUUGCGAGAAAGCCACGGCUAACUACGUGCCAGCAGCCGCGGUAAUACGUAGGUGGCAAGCGUUGUCCGGAAUUAUUGGGCGUAAAGCGCGCGCAGGCGGCCUCUUAAGUCUGAUGUGAAAGCCCCCGGCUCAACCGGGGAGGGCCAUUGGAAACUGGGAGGCUUGAGUAUAGGAGAGAAGAGUGGAAUUCCACGUGUAGCGGUGAAAUGCGUAGAGAUGUGGAGG